UGGGCCGAUGCGGGGAGCGCUCCACGACAUCCAGCUGGUAGGUGUGGUUGAUGCUCCCGUAUUUGUUCUCCACGAUGCACGUGUAGUUGCCCUUAUCUGAUGGCACCACCGAGUCCAUGAUGAUGCUCCAGGUGGCAUAGCGGACCUUGUACCCCCCGAUGCGGUGGUCAGGCUUGAACUCCUUGCCGUUCUUCAGCCAGCGCAGCGUGGGGUUGGGCGUCCCACCUGAGGGGCACUUGAAUUUCACUGUUUUGGCAGCGGGGACGGCAUGCAGCUUCUUCUCCAUCUUCUCGGGAUAGGUCCAGUAAGGAGCUACAGCCUGGUUCGGCUUGGUGUUAUCCGCCUCCUUCUCCUCCGAGGAGGAAUCAUCUUCAUCAUCAUCAUCCUCUGCAGAAGGGAGUGCGUCUGAGACGUUGACGGAGAAGUAGGUGGUCUCGCUCCCCGAGGGGCUGUUGGUCAUGCAGGCAUAGAGCCCCGAGUCCUCGGGCACCGCGUCCCGCACCUCUACCUCCUCGCCGGUGAUGCGCGUGCGGUUGUUCUCGGGCAGCUGCACUCCAUCACGCACCCAGUUGAUGCUCUGCACGUCAUCGCGCAGCCGGCAGCGCAGCUGGAGGAGAUCGCCGGGGUGCGCCGAGUGGGACUCCACCUCGAUGUUCGCUUUGGGCAGAGCUUGGUCGGGCAGCGUGGGGGCCGGUCUGGCAGCAGACAGCGUGGCUGUGACCAGCACAGCCCAAAGGAUGAGGCACCUCCAGGUAAACAUCCCACUGCUGCGGCUACUGCUCAGCGACUGCGCUCAACCGCCCCUCCAUGGGGCCCCGUCGGCCGCUGUGAGCGGAGUCCCGCGGGGCGGCGGCGGAGGCGCGGUGCCCGCCGCUCCCGGGAACAAUGGAGGGGAGCCCCGGCCGGGGCGAGAGCGCAGCCCCGCCGCCGCCGCGCUCACUGCGGCCGCCCCAUGGCGGACCCCGGCCCCGAGGUGGCGGCGGGAGGCGCUCCCGGGAGGCGCGGUCCGCCCCGACGGCCGCCGCUCAGCGCUGCCCGCACCGCCGCGUCCCCGCCGCGCGCUG
rnacentral:lncRNA from 1 species